rnacentral:rRNA from 2 species
CAUUAGCUAGUUGGUGGGGUAACGGCCUACCAAGGCGACGAUGCGUAGCCGACCUGAGAGGGUGAUCGGCCACACUGGGACUGAGACACGGCCCAGACUCCUACGGGAGGCAGCAGUAGGGAAUCUUCCGCAAUGGACGAAAGUCUGACGGAGCAACGCCGCGUGAGUGACGAAGGCCUUCGGGUCGUAAAACUCUGUUAUCAGGGAAGAACAAGUGCCGAUUAACUGUCGGCGCCGUGACGGUACCUGACCAGAAAGCCACGGCUAACUACGUGCCAGCAGCCGCGGUAAUACGUAGGUGGCAAGCGUUGUCCGGAAUUAUUGGGCGUAAAGCGCGCGCAGGCGGCUUCUUAAGUCUGAUGUGAAAGCCCACGGCUCAACCGUGGAGGGUCAUUGGAAACUGGGAGGCUUGAGUGCAGAAGAGAAGAGCGGAAUUCCACGUGUAGCGGUGAAAUGCGUAGAGAUGUGGAGGAACACCAGUGGCGAAGGCGGCUCUUUGGUCUGUAACUGACGCUGAGGCGCGAAAGCGUGGGGAGAGAACAGGAUUAGAUACCCUGGUAUUCCACGCCGUAAACGAUGAGUGCUAAGUGUUAGGGGGUUUCCGCCC